UGUUUUCAUCAUUUAAUAAUGAAAAGUCUGAGUUGAAAAAGGAUUUAUAUAGUUGCAUUUUGUCAUCUAAUCAAAUGAAAAUCAAUAAUUUCAAAAAAUGUAAGGAAGAUUUACCUGAAAAAAGUAAUAAAGAUACAAUUUCAGGAGGCUUAUCACAAGCAUUUGGUUUUGAGAAGUGUACUGAGUUAGAAGAACAAUAUAAUCAAGCAUUAAAUUUCAGCAAUGAAGAUAUUUUAAUACCAGAUGAAACAUU
rnacentral:lncRNA from 1 species